UUGGGAGACCAAACAAUUUAGGCGUUAUAAUGGUGUUAUAUUUGGUGUUACGUUAUGCUGUUAUGUUAUGGUGUUAUAUUUAAAGACGUUUGCUGUUAUAUUGCUGUUAUUUUUAAUGAUAGUUUUGCAUUUAUACUUGCUGUUAUAUUUGAUGUCACACGUGACAGCAAAUAUAUCAGCAAAAUAUCAUUGCAAUGCUGCCACAUUUUGUCAUUUAAAUAAGAAGUUUAGAAAGUUUCUAAAGAGGUAGCACAAGGUGGUAAAAGUAAAAAAAAAAAAAAAUGGAAGCAAUUAAAGUUAUAUUUAAAGAAAAUGCUGAAAUAGUUAUUGCCAGCAGCAGUAAUUUUUUGGAUUUUUGUGCAGCUGAUAGUUCGUAAAACCUUCAAUUUGACCAUUAUUGAAGAAGUCAAGUGGAAUAGCUGUAAAGUAAAUGCUAGUAGUUUUGCUGCUCUUCUCAACGAACAAAAUUUAGAGUUUACUAUUCAAGCUCCAUAAUUUGUUGAUAUUUCCAACUUUCAACAAGUAACUUUUUUAUCUGAGUUAAAUAAGGCUGACACAGCUCAAUCAUCACCGUUAUGCCAAUCUUCAUCUAUUGUAAAUGAUAACGUAGAUUUUGUAGUACCAUCGAAUAAAGUUAAUUGGAACUUUGAAAACCAAUGUAUGGCUGAAGAAUGUCAUGUAAAUGUUGUUCAGCCUUCGGUAAGUCAACUAUAUACACCAGUUGCACAAUAUAUGGCUGAAGAACAUCAUGUUAAUGUUGUUCAUCCUCCGGUAAGACAAAUAUCUUCAUCAACUUCUUCAUCUUCAUCUCUAAACACACCCAAGACACCGCGAAAGAAUGAACUACUAAAGUCAAAACCAUCUAUCAAUGUUCUCGCAAUUUUGAAUAGAAAUCUUUUUCAACCAAAAAUAUAUGAAAAACUCCCGAUUCAAUUGUCAGUGGCUCCCUGUUUAAUAAUUGCUGAGUUAAAGCGCCUUUAUCCACACUAUAGUUUUAUAGAAGAAUCAUGUUCAUUUUUUAUUACUAAAGCCUUCUAAUCACCUUGAAAGUUCGCUUGUUUUACAAUGUAAAUUAGGUUCCAAAAAAGCAAAGGAUUUGUUGUUUAAGAAAUCUGAAUCUGACGAUCUGGUCGAUGAGUUGAAGAUACCUGCAAAGUACGGUCCACAAGUUCUUUUCAACUCAACACAAUAUGGCAUUCACAGUAGAUCAGGAUGCGAAAUGAUUAGCACAGAUUUACAGACAAUUAAAGAGUGUGUAAUUUCGAAAUAAGAGUCUUUGGACUUAGCAAACAAAGCAGAUUUCUUAAAUGUCGAUAACAACAUCUGGAGGACAAAUACAGUUCAAGUGCACGACGUAUACAUAAAGUAGAAAAGCAAAGUCCAUUAGGAGAAUAAGUGGUGAGGCGUAGUUGUUCAAUAAGGAAAGAAAUUUCUUCAGAAGUGUCACUGUAUGUAUUUUCAAUUUGACUAAUCAAACUUAAUACCUCAUCUUUUAUUUCAGGACUUGAGGUACAAAUUCUUUUGAGAAUAGCUUCAAGCUGUGACCACCGAUUAAGACAAUGAGAAAACCUGAGCAGGUAGACAUGAUUGAGAAACAUCAAGCAGUAUGACUUUUGAAUUUUCAAUGAAUGCAAAGUAUUGAGGAUAUCUAAAUUAGUUUAAUAACAAAUCUUGGUUGUGUUGAAACUGUUUGGCGCACUAUUGAAGAUGUGCAUCCAGGAAAAAAAGAUGAAACUAAUCAUUGUAAAACUUAUCAAUAAAAACAACUUAAAGGAUGCUUACCUCAAACUUUGAUCUAGGAGGCUUGUGCAUUUUGCAGCCUGGUGGCCAGUGUUUUUCACACACACAUAUUUGAAGUUUCUUUUUCAAACGCAUUUGGAAUAGAUGACAGCCAAUAUUGUAAUUUUUGUGUGUCACUUGGAAGCAUGUAAACAUGAAGCUUUUCUUCUGUUAAAUAAUUCUGUUAAAUAAUAAGCUUUUCUUCUGUUAAAUAAAGUUGAUGUUGAAUAAUUCGUGGUACAAAUAACUCUUGAACAUUUUCUUGGCAUGAUUAUAACUAAUUACUAUUGUAACACCAUUAUUAUUUAUUAUAAAUAAUAUUUAUAAUAAAUCAUAUUUAAAAUAUGACAUAAC
rnacentral:misc_RNA from 1 species